AUGUCAUCAAUCUCUCUAUAUAUAUACAUCUUGUUGUUUCCUUAUCGGAGGAGUGAAAAACAAAAUUAACAAUCAAAAAGAAGUUAGUCAAAUGAGUCCUGUGGCCAUUCUGUUCAUAGUGUUUGGGGCAUUUCUCAUGUUUUUGUUCAUCUUGUGGCUCAUUCACUUUCUCUACCACAAAGCUAAGAAGGAUGGCAAGGAAAGCAUCGCCUGUCUUGGCAGCGGUUACGGUGGUGAUUUUGGCGGUUGACUUUAAUCUUACUCGUGCAUCGGUGCAUGGAAACGUGUAGUUUCAAUAUUUUUGUUGGGAUAUAUAUAUAUAUAUAUAUUUAUCCAUACAAGUUCUUCGUUAAUUGUAUAUCUUUUGAAGUAUCAUUCAUAUAAUAGAUUGUUCUAAGUUCGUAAUUAUGCAAAAAUGGUCUAUGCAUGUGCUUGUGUAUAACCGGGAAAAUUGAUUGAAAGUCUCUUCUUAUUAGUCAACAGUUUACUUCAAAAUAUCCCUUUUCUUAAAUCUUAAUGAGUUCAAUAUAUCAAAAAUUGGUUAAUGGAUUGUAUG